UACAGAGGGUGCAAGCGUUAUUCGGAAUUACUGGGCGUAAAGCGCAUGCAGGUGGGAUAGAAAGUCAGAUGUGAAAUGCCGGGGCUUAACUCCGGAAUUGCAUUUGAAACUUCUAUUCUUGAGUCUGAGAGAGGGAAGUAGAAUUCCUGGUGUAGAGGUGAAAUUCGUAGAUAUCAGGAGGAAUACCGGAGGCGAAGGCGGCUUCCUGGCUCAGAACUGACACUCAGAUGCGAAAGCGUGGGUAG
rnacentral:rRNA from 1 species